rnacentral:rRNA from 1 species
CCUACGGGAGGCAGCAGUGAGGAAUAUUGGUCAAUGGGCGGGAGCCUGAACCAGCCAAGCCGCGUGAGGGAAGAAGGUACAGCGUAUCGUAAACCUCUUUUGUCAGGGAACAAAGGCGGGGACUAGUCCCCGGAUGAGGGUACCUGAAGAAAAAGCAUCGGCUAACUCCGUGCCAGCAGCCGCGGUAAUACGGAGGAUGCGAGCGUUAUCCGGAUUUAUGGGGGUUAAAGGGUGCGCAGGCGGCCUGUUAAGUCAGCGGUAAAAGCCCGGGGCUCAACCCCGGCGAGCGGUUGAAACUGGCGGGCUGGAGUUGGAGAGAAGUACGCGGAAUGCGCGGUGUAGCGGUGAAAUGCUUAGAUAUCGCGCAGAACCCCGAUUGCGAAGGCAGCGUACCGGCUCCACACUGACGCUGAGGCACGAAAGCGUGGGUAUCGAACAGGAUUAGAUACCCCUGUAGUC